rnacentral:rRNA from 1 species
GGAGUAUGUGGUUUAAUUCGAUGCAACGCGAAGAACCUUACCUGGUCUUGACAUCCCGGAGACCCUUAGGAAACUAGGGGGUGCUUCCAUCUGGAAGGAAUCUGGAGACAGGCGCUGCAUGGCUGUCGUCAGCUCGUGUCGUGAGAUGUUGGGUUAAGUCCCGCAACGAGCGCAACCCUUGCCUUUAGUUGCCAGCAGUUCGGCUGGGCACUCUAAAGGGACUGCCGGUGUUAAACCGGAGGAAGGUGGGGAUGACGUCAAGUCCUCAUGGCCUUUAUGACCAGGGCUACACACGUACUACAAUGGCCGAUACAAAGGGCAGCGACACUGCGAGGUGAAGCCAAUCCCGUAAAAUCGGUCUCAGUCCGGAUUGGAGUCUGCAACUCGACUCCAUGAAGUUGGAAUCGCUAGUAAUCGUGGAUCAGCAUGCCACGGUGAAUACGUUCCCGGGCCUU